rnacentral:lncRNA from 1 species
GUGUAAGUUAACACCAAACGAAAACAACCCAACAAAAACAAUCCUUGUAUCUUCCUUUGAUAUUCUUUUUCUCUCUUCUCUCUCCUUCUUCCACCCUCACAUCCAACAUUUGUAAAACCAAGAACUUCUCAUGGAUUAAACUACUGAGGUCUGGGAGGUCUGAAUAGUAUACUACAGUUGUGUUGUAUAUUCUUUUAUCUCCUAUUUCUACAUUUUAAAUUUAUUUUUUAUGCUUGUUUUUUGUUCUCUCUACUGUCUUCCCACCUACAUGACUCCUCAAAAUCACUUUCUCUCUUUUCUCGUGCUACUAUCCAACUUCUUUGGAUUUCUCUUUCACCCUUCCUAAGAUCUAAUAACUCUGUAUCCUCACCUCCUAACCCCUCAGCAUCUCAUCCUACACCCCAUUCCUGGUUCUCUCUUUGUCCACACUAGAAACUGCAGAUCCUUUUGCAAACAUACUGUUUAUAUUGUAGAUAAUGAUUAAACUCGCCUUUUCUGUAUAUUGUGACAAAUCAUUAAAC